rnacentral:lncRNA from 1 species
AUACGCACGCGUGGAGCGGGGAGGGCUGGGGGCCUCUUGGACAAACAGGUAUAUACGCACUCGUGGAGCGGGGAGGGCUGGGGGCCCCCAAGGCCGGAAUGCAUGUGCGUCUCUUCCACUGUCUGUUAUCCACACAGCUGCCAGGCUCCAGUGAGAGUUCUCCCUGUGGAAUGCAGGUCUUUAAGUACACUUAGGCCCCUGACUCAGUGACAUGCCUUUGACAGUCUUGUGCCUGUCUCCACUUCUUUACCUGUUUCUGUGGUAGACAGAAGCACCUUGGGGAAAGGGUGCCUGUGGUUCACAGUUCCAAGUACAACCUACUGGGGUGGGGGGGACUGUGUGUGUGUGUGUGUGUGUGUGUGUGUGUGUGUGUGUGUGUGUGUGUGUGUGUGUGUUGGGUGGCGGGCAGUAGGAACCGGAACCUGAAGCAGCUGGUCCCAUCCAGUCAGGAACAAAUAAUAAAUGGAACAAGCCAGUACUCAGCUGUUUUUUCCUGUUCCCUCAGUCCAGGGGUGGUGCGGUCAUACACAGGUAGGCCUCCCCAUCUCAGGUAACCCAGGAAAACUCAUAAGCCAGCCUGUUUGAAGUAGCCCCUCAUUGAGACUUUCUUCCUGAGUAGUUCUCACUGUGCCAGGCAGACUGAACUGUACACCAGCAAGCUGGAGAGUGGGUUCAGCUGUUAGAGUUCAGGCCCUAGUCAGUCCCCAUAUUUGACAGCUUAACCAUCUACAAUUCUAGUUUCAAGGGAUCAGUGCCCUCCUCUGAUGUCUCAGAAUACACACACGCACAUGCACACACAUAUCUUUAAACAAAACAAAAGCUGUAAAUAAUUAAAACAUUUUAAGAAUUAAGAUAAAGUGAAUCGUAUCUGGUAGGUGGGACACACCUUUAAUCCCAACACUAAGUCAAUCCCCAUUGGAUCACUGUGAGCACCAGGCCAGCCAGGGCUACGCAGUGAGACUGUCUCAACACACACACGGACACACAGGGACACAACAACACAGAAAUGUGAGUGUGUGUGCAUGCAUGUGGCCUAUGGAGGUCAGAGUGUGCGUGCAGACAGAACAUUCUUACAUUAAAAAAAAAUAGAUUAAAAGAAACAGCAAAACUAACUAUU